GACGAACGCUGGCGGCGUGCUUAACACAUGCAAGUCGAACGGAAAGGCGCUGCUUUUGCGGGGUGCUCGAGUGGCGCACGGGUGAGUGACACGUGAGUAACCUGCCCUUGUCUUUGGGGUAACUUCUCGGAACUGGGGCUCAUACCGCGUAGGAGCUACUGAUGCGUGGGGUGCGUUGGAGAGUUUCGGCGGUUGGGGCUGGUCUCGCGGCUUAUCAGCUUGUUUGGGGGGUAGUGGAUGACAAAGGCUGUGACGGGUAGCCGGCGUGGGAGGGGGACCGGCCACAUUGGGACUGGGAGACGGAGCAGACUGCUACGGUAGGCAGCAGUGGGGAAUAUUGCACAAUGGGCGGAAGCCUGAUGCAGCAACGCCGCGUGCGGGAUGACGGCCUUCGGGUGGUAAACAGAUUUCGCCUGUGACGAAGCGUGAGUGACGGUAAUGGGUAAAGAAGCACCGGCUAACUACGUG
rnacentral:rRNA from 1 species